GAGCUGCAAUGUUUUCGAGAAGUAUAGUUUUUGGCCUCGGAUUACAGACCAAGCCGGUUUGGUUAAUAUGUUAGUUACACACCUUGAACUGACUUAAUUGCCUAAUUGUUUUCUUACCAUAACCAAUGAUUUGCUUGCUGUAGAAAUGCUAAAGCAAUCUAUGCAUUGUAGAAACUUGAAUAUAUCAUUUUAUUCUUAUUAUGGAUUCAUGACCGCUGUACCUUUAAAUUUACUCUUGCUAGCUAUUGGGUGCUAGAAACCCCCAUUAUUCUUAUUCUAAGUAUCCGAAGGAAAGGGCCAAAUAUGAAGAAAAGGUUUUGAAAUUAAACCUUUUUCAUAGCAUGUAAAAAGAAGAUUAAGGGAUUUGCUAUGGAUGAUCAAAUAUUUUGAAAAAGAAGUGAAAAAGCAGUAUGAAAAAUCAAGAGUCACGUCUUGAAAUAGUCGAAAAAAACAUUGAUAUUGUUCUUCUUUCGAGAGGUGUUGGAUUUUUCUUGUUAAUAGAAGAAUUGAGCAUCACUGCAUCAGAUCUUGAGUGAAGGCUUGCGAGUGUAAUGAAGACAGACGUGAAGGGAAUGCCAGCCCCUUUCGUUUAAUUGGAAGUCCUGCUCAAUUGUCAAAAUAUGUAACGCAUUAACUUUAACAAAUAAAAAAUUAUUUAUUUUAAAGCAAUUUUGUGUCAAUAAGUAAAUUUACUUAGCCAAACGUUCCUGGAUGUUGAGCAAGUCUUUUCUUUCUUUUAUCCUGCAAAUGUCGAAGUGGGUAGUCCUAAUGAACAUGCCGAAAAAGAAUUGAAAUUUGUGUCUAGAUUACUGAUUGAUAUGGAUAAUGAUAUUGGAUAGCAUAAAUAGCUACCUAUGAUGACGAGCAAAGUGAGGUGUUACACCCUUGUGCUGGACCGUCGAUCCCAUGCAGGGGCGAACUCAGCCGUUUUGGGUUGUGGGGCCAAAAAUUAGAGUCGUGCUACAGUGCUCAUAUGAAUGACUGCGGGGCUGACACAAUAUACACGCAUGGGGUCGAGAUUAUUUUAUUCAUGGGGACCUCGUCGAGCAUGUGAGGGCGCGGUCACUUGUGAGGUCAUCCUCGCGGGUUGUACUUAGUUCCAAAAAUUAAUGUGUAAUUUUUUAAAACAAUAUAAUAUUUAUAAAAAUAAGUUAAUACGCAUUUUGACAUCUUGGAAGUGUCUUAUAAUUCUAUCAUUAUGAAUAUUGUUAAAUGAAUUUUGCUACAUGUGUAGUUUUGUUUACCAUGUCAUUUAUGGAUGUUGAGCUAACGACGAGUAAGUAAUUCAAAUUACAUUUAAUCCGUAACGAUUUUAGAAUUUUUGACAUCAUAUUUAAUGUAAAAUUUUCUAAUAAAAUGAUGUAAAUUAUAUUGGAAAAUUUAUCGUGAAAAAUAAUAAACGUUAAUGAAAUAAUUUAUUUUUUUUAUAAAAAAAAAAAGACAAGUUAAACGCCUCUUUUAAUACGUACGUUUGACGCAUAUUUAACUAUUUUCGAUAUCUGUUUGAACCAUUCGAUAUGACUACGAUGUAAUUUUCGUAACGAACUUCUAAAUUAUGCAAGCGAUUUGUAGAUUUAGAUAGCAUACGAUCAUCGGCAAAUUUUAAAAGUUAGUAUAUUAUCGAAAUUUUUAAAAUACUAAUUUGGAACGGCCUACUUUGAUACAUCGUAACUUUUGCUACGAUUGAUCAUUUCGCACACCAUUAAGAAGCAAAAAAUUAGGCCAUGAGUGCUUAUAAAUGAUAUUAAGAAUGCAAUAUUUCGAUUUCAUUUGGUACGUUAAUAAGUGGGUCCAAAAUGGGUUUAAACAACCAUUUUCUGGAGGAGGAAAAAAAAAACCAAAAUUUUGUGAGGUCAUUUGACCCCAUGUGAGUCCACCCCUGAUCCCAUGAGUGCUCUACCUCCAUGCUAGGCCAUCAACUCCCAUGAUCAUUCUACCUCUAUGUCAACUCCAAACCAUCGAGCAGCAUGAGAUUGCCUACGUGGUUAAUCCAACGCUUAGCCAUAAAAACAUUGAUGAAUUGAUAAGGCUUACAUAAUGGCUAUCACGGGAACAAUCGACCAUUUGGAAGUUGAAGGCCCCCCACUUAGAAUGUGGGGGAGGUCGAAAAGGCUAUGUGGUACACGUGGUACCAUAACCACCCAACAAUCACCUGGCUUCAGGUGUCCAUAAAUAUACCCGAGGCGAAAAAUAUAUCUAGAAGAAAAAUUUUGGCUACCUAAAUUUCAUUUUUGUUUUUCCUAACACCGUAUACUAAUUCUCACACCUUGAAACAUAUCGUUUUGUGCAGGCCAUAUCAACAAUUUUGAUUGGAGCAGCAAUGUUUUCGAGAAGUAAAGUUUUUGGCCUCGGAUUACAGACCAAGCCCGUUUGGUUAAUAUGUUAGUUACACACCUUGAACUGACUUAAUUGCGUAAUUGUUUUCUUACCAUAACCAAUGAUUUGCUUGCUGUAGAAAUGCUAAAGCAAUCUAUGCAUUGUAGAAACUUGAAUAUAUCAUUUUAUUCUUAUUAUGGAUUCAUGACCGCUGUACCUUUAAAUUUACUCUUGCUAGCUAUUGGGUGCUAGAAACCCCCAUUAUUCUUAUUCUAAGUAUCCGAAGGAAAGGGCCAAAUAUGAAAAUAAUUGUUUUCUUACCAUAACCAAUGAUUUGCUUGCUGUAGAAAUGCUAAAGCAAUCUAUGCAUUGUAGAAACUUGAAUAUAUCAUUUUAUUCUUAUUAUGGAUUCAUGACCGCUGUACCUUUAAAUUUACUCUUGCUAGCUAUUGGGUGCUAGAAACCCCCAUUAUUCUUAUUCUAAGUAUCCGAAGGAAAGGGCCAAAUAUGAAGGAAAGGUUUUGAAAUUAAACCUUUUUCAUAGCAUGUAAAAAGAAGAUUAAGGGAUUUGCUAUGGAUGAUCAAAUAUUUUGAAAAAGAAGUGAAAAAGCAGUAUGAAAAAUCAAGAGUCACGUCUUGAAAUAGUCG
rnacentral:lncRNA from 1 species